UACAGAGGUGGCAAGCGUUGUUCGGAAUUACUGGGCGUAAAGGGCGCGUAGGCGGCCUUCUAAGUCAGACGUGAAAUCCCCCGGCUUAACCUGGGAACUGCGUCUGAUACUGGAGGGCUUGAGUGCGGGAGAGGGAUGUGGAAUUCCAGGUGUAGCGGUGAAAUGCGUAGAUAUCUGGAGGAACACCGGUGGCGAAGGCGACGUCCUGGACCGGCAUUGACGCUGAGGCGCGAAAGCCAGGGAGCAAACAGG
rnacentral:rRNA from 1 species